AUUGAACGCUGGCGGCAGGCCUAAUACAUGCAAGUCGAGCGGAGCGGCGGACGGGUGAGUAAUGCCUAGGAAUCCGCCUGGUAGUGGGGGAUAACGUCCGGAUACGGGCGCUAAUACCGCAUACUCUCAUAUGAGCCUUGGUCGGAUUAGCUAGUUGGUGGGGUAAAGGCCUACCAAGGCGACGAUCCGUAACUGGUCUGAGAGGAUGAUCAGUCACACUGGAACUGAGACACGGUCCAGACACCUACGUGAGGCAGCAGUGGGGAAUAUUGGACAAUGGGCGAAAGCCUGAUCCAGCCAUGCCGCGUGUGUGAAGAAGGUCUUCGGAUUGUAAAGCACUUUAAGUUGGGAGGCGUUACCAACAGAAUAAGCACCGGCUAACGUCGUGCCAGCAGCCGCGGUAAUUC
rnacentral:rRNA from 1 species